UACAGAUCAAGAAAAAUUUACUUGGGCCAAAAGCCCAAGUCUCCAAAAACAGAACCCUGAAACCGGGUUUCCCAUGGCUAUCCAAUAACUCAGCUGCAGAAAUUCAAAGACGCCUCGACGUACACACGCUCGUCACAGACAAAAACGCGAGUAGUUCGAUGCCGAUAACGUACCAGGGAGACGCGCGCACGAAACUGAAGACGACGAGGUCGAUCCGAGGCGAGAGGAUUUGUCGAUUCAAAGCUUGUGAUUCUGAUCUCCUUCUAUCCCCGCGCGUUCGCUUUUGUACCCGUUGUUGAUGGUCGAUUCCGAAGUGUUGCGUGGCGUUGCAAUGAAGAGUGAAAAGACGUUAGGUUCUUGCUUCGAAGAGUGAAGAUAAUUGUUUCCAGAUGUUUCAACGGAUUCCGGUCGAUGGCGAUGAAACUCUUUCCCGAAGCACUGUGAGUUCUCUCUUUCGAAAUCCAGCCCCUUUUACGAAUUUUGUUUCCUUGUUUUUCUGGCUGCGGUGGUGGACUGAGUUUUGGAAGCAGGUUGGUUCAAUGGGUUAUUUGAGAGGAGGUUGUUCAGUUGCAGGUUAUGACUUCUAAAGUGAAAUCCAGGAUUAUUGCAGAAGGGAAAUUUUUGGAAGGUGAGUUGGUUCAGGGUGAAGUUUGAUCGGUGGUUGUGGAGGGUCUGCAGGUUGCAGAAUUGUGGUAGCAAUUCAGAAUUUAUUAAGUUUUCUAUCCCCUUUUCUGAAUUGGCUUUGUUAAAACUCUCCUAGGAUGAAAACAGUUUGAAUCUUGAUUGAAUGUGGCUGAGAUUUACUGUUGUUCAUGAUUUGCUAUGCUUAUUGUUUAGGACAUUUGUAACUUCCAUGGAUUGACAUAAGGCUAGCUUCAUGUGGUUGGCUUAUUCGGUGCAUGGCUGGCUCAAGGCUUGGAGUUUUAUUGUGGAGCUAUGGUUGUGCACUUCGUGCAGGUCUCGGUUCACAUUGGCUUUUGUUGGUUUUGCCUAUGCAUUGCAGCGACAGUUUUAUUGCCGUUUUUUGUUUGUAAAUUACUGAGCUGGUCCUGACUUGAUAUGCGUGUCGCAUUGGUUGUUGUUUUGUAAGGCUCAUGGAUUGCUUAAGCAAAGCUUCGGAAAUGUUCGGAAUUACGUCAAGAUUUUUGUUGUAAUGGUUUAAUGUAGAGUUUAUGUAAAAAUGGUUAUGUAUCGGUUCAUAUUGAUUUAGGAACUUGGCUUAUGAACGAUUUUGAAUGUCGAAUAUAUGGUUAUGUAAUAAAAAUACGAAAAUAGAAGUGGAUGGUUGAAUAUGUAAAAUUGAUGUACAAGAAGAGGUUGAAUGAUAAAUGAAAAUGCAAUGUAUUUGGAAAUUGAAUCGAACUGAACGAUUGUGAUUU